UACGUAGGGGGCGAGCGUUGUCCGGAAUUAUUGGGCGUAAAGAGCUCGUAGGCGGUUCCCUAAGUCGGGUGUGAAAUCUCAGGGCUCAACUCUGAAACUGCACCCGAUACUGGGGAACUUGAGGCAGGUAGAGGAGAUCGGAAUUCCUGGUGUAGCGGUGAAAUGCGCAGAUAUCAGAAGAAACACCGGUGGCGAAGGCGGAUCUCUGGGCCUGUUCUGACGCUGAGGAGCGAAAGCGUGGGGAGCAAACAGG
rnacentral:misc_RNA from 1 species